UAAGCCAUGCAUGUCUAAGUAUAAGCAAUUAUACAGCGAAACUGCGAAUGGCUCAUUAUAUAAGUUAUCGUUUAUUUGAUAGUACCUUACUACUUGGAUAACCGUGGUAAUUCUAGAGCUAAUACAUGCUAAAAAUCCCGACUUCGGAAGGGAUGUAUUUAUUAGAUUAAAAACCAAUGCCCUCUGGGCUCCUUGGUGAUUCAUGAUAACUCUUCGAAUCGCACGGCCUUGCGCCGGCGAUGGUUCAUUCAAAUUUCUUCCCUAUCAACUUUCGAUGUUUGGGUCUUGGCCAAACAUGGUCGCAACGGGUAACGGAGGGUUAGGGCUCGACCCCGGAGAAGGAGCCUGAGAAACGGCUACUACAUCCAAGGAAGGCAGCAGGCGCGCAAAUUACCCAAUCCCGAUUCGGGGAGGUAGUGACAAUAAAUACUGAUACAGGGCUCUUUUGGGUCUUGUAAUUGGAAUGAGUACAAUUUAAAUCCCUUAACGAGGAACAAUUGGAGGGCAAGUCUGGUGCCAGCAGCCGCGGUAAUUCCAGCUCCAAUAGCGUAUAUGAAAGUUGUUGUGGUUAAAAAGCUCGUAGUUGAACCUUGGGCCUGGCUGGCCGGUCCGCCUCACCGCGUGUACUGGUCCGGCCGGGCCUUUCCCUCUGUGGAACCCCAUGCCCUUCACUGGGUGUGGCGGGGAAACAGGACUUUUACUUUGAAAAAAUUAGAGUGCUCCAGGCAGGCCUAUGCUCGAAUACAUUAGCAUGGAAUAAUGAAAUAGGACGCGUGGUUCUAUUUUGUUGGUUUCUAGGACCGCCGUAAUGAUUAAUAGGGACAGUCGGGGGCAUCAGUAUUCAAUUGUCAGAGGUGAAAUUCUUGGAUUUAUUGAAGACUAACUACUGCGAAAGCAUUUGCCAAGGAUGUUUUCAUUAAUCAGGAACGAAAGUUAGGGGAUCGAAGACGAUCAGAUACCGUCGUAGUCUUAACCAUAAACUAUGCCGACUAGGGAUCGGACGAUGUUAUUUUUUGACGCGUUCGGCACCUUACGAGAAAUCAAAGUGCUU
rnacentral:rRNA from 1 species